rnacentral:rRNA from 1 species
UACGAAGGGGGCUAGCGUUGCUCGGAAUCACUGGGCGUAAAGGGUGCGUAGGCGGGUCUUUAAGUCAGGGGUGAAAUCCUGGAGCUCAACUCCAGAACUGCCUUUGAUACUGAGGAUCUUGAGUUCGGGAGAGGUGAGUGGAACUGCGAGUGUAGAGGUGAAAUUCGGUAGAUAUUCGCAAGAACACCAGUGGCGAAGGCGGCUCACUGGCCCGAUACCUGACGCUGAGGCACGAAAGC